rnacentral:rRNA from 1 species
UAACAGCUCAAAUUUGAAAUCUGGCUCCUGCGGAGUCCGAGUUGUAAUUUGUAGAAGAUGCUUUGGGAGGUAGGGCCGGCCUAAGUUCCUUGGAACAGGACGUCAGAGAGGGUGAGAAUCCCGUAUGCGGCCGAGGCCUACGCCCGUGUAAAGCUCUUUCGACGAGUCGAGUUGUUUGGGAAUGCAGCUCAAAAUGGGUGGUAAAUUUCAUCUAAAGCUAAAUAUUGGCCAGAGACCGAUAGCGCACAAGUAGAGUGAUCGAAAGAUGAAAAGCACUUUGGAAAGAGAGUUAAACAGUACGUGAAAUUGUUGAAAGGGAAGCGCUUGCAACCAGACUUGGGCGUCGGCGAUCAUCCGUGGUUUUCCGCGGUGCACUCGACGAUGCACAGGCCAGCAUCGGUUUGGGUGGUUGGAGAAAGACCCGAGGAAUGUAGCUCUCUUCGGGGAGUGUUAUAGCCUAGGGUGCAAUGCAGCCCACCUGGACCGAGGACCGCGCCUUUGGGCUAGGAUGCUGGCGUAAUGGUUGCAAGCGACCCG